ensembl:misc_RNA Metazoa_SRP Metazoan signal recognition particle RNA
GCUGGGUGCGGUGGCACGCGCCUGUAAUCCAAGCUACCGGGAGGCUGAGGCUGGAGGAUCGUUUGAGCUCAGGAGCUCUGAGCUGCAGCGGACUAUGUCGAUCGGGUGUCCGCACUAAGUUCGGUAUCGAUAUGGUGCUCCUGGGGGAGCCCGGGACCACCAGGUCGUCUAAGGAGGGGUGCACCGGCCCAGGUCGGAAACGGAGCAGGUCAAAGCCCCCGUGCCGCUCAGUAGUGGGAUCGCGCCUGUGAAUAGACGCUGUAGUGCAGCCUGAGUAAUACAGCGGGACUCAGUCUUUU